GGCAUGUCCUUCUCUCAUCCUUCCCCUCUCUUUCUCUCCUCUGCUUCUCCCUUCCUCUCUCUCCUCUCCUCUCCUCUUCUUCUUUUCCUUCUCUGCUCUCCUCCUUCUCUUCUUCUCUCAGUCACACCACAGCAGCACUUUAUCUUUUUUAUUUUUCCUUUUUAACUUUUUUCUUCUCCUCUCUUCCUUCCUCUCGUAUUCUCUCAUCAUGCCAUCUUUACAGCAGCAGUGCAGCACUUGUAAUU
rnacentral:misc_RNA from 1 species